CAGCAGCCGCGGUAAAACAGAGGGUGCAAGCGUUAAUCGGAAUUACUGGGCGUAAAGCGCGCGUAGGUGGUUCGCCAAGUUGGAUGUGAAAUCCCCGGGCUCAACCUGGGAACUGCAUCCAAAACUGGCGAGCUAGAGUAUGGUAGAGGGUGGUGGAGUUUCCUGUGUAGCGGUGAAAUGCGUAGAUAUAGGAAGGAACACCAGUGGCGAAGGCGACCACCUGGGCUCAUACUGACACUGAGGUGCGAAAGCGUGGGGAGCAAACAGGAUUAGAUACCCCAGUAGUCCCUGUCUCUUAUAC
rnacentral:rRNA from 1 species